rnacentral:rRNA from 1 species
GGAGGGACGCAGGAGGCUAACGAUGCGCACUAUCGGAUGUGCGUCCAAGCAGCAAGUCUGUCGGCGAGUCAAAUGCUUGCCGGCUCAAGGACAAGCUGUGACGGGUAUGAACGAUUUAUCGUUCUAAGUGAGUGACGUCACACUGCCAAGAAAAGCUUCUAGUUAGAAUCAGACCGCCCGUACCGCAAACCGACACAGGUAGUCGGGUCGAGAAGACCAAGGUGAGCGAGAGAACUCUCGUUAAGGAACUCGGCAAAAUGACCCCGUAACUUCGGGAGAAGGGGUGCUGAUCGCAAGAUCAGCCGCAGUGAAUAGGCCCAGGCGACUGUUUAUCAAAAACACAGGUUUCUGCAAAAUCGUAAGAUGAAGUAUAGGGGCUGACGCCUGCCCGGUGCUGGAAGGUUAAGAGGAUGGGUUAGCGCAAGCGAAGCUCAGAAUUGAAGCCCCAGUAAACGGCGGCCGUAACAAUAACGGUCCUAAGGUAGCGAAAUUCCUUGUCGGGUAAGUUCCGACCCGCACGAAAGGCGUAACGAUCUGGGCACUGUCUCUACGAGAGACUCGGUGAAAUUAUAAUACCCGUGAAGAUGCGGGUUACCCGCGACAGGACGGAAAGACCCCAUGGAGCUUUACUGUAGCUUGAUAUUGGGUGUUUGUACAACUUGUACAGGAUAGGUAGGAGCCGUAGAAGUCGGGACGCUAGUUUCGACGGAGGCACCGGUGGGAUACUACCCUCGUUGUAUGAAUACUCUAACCCACGCCGGCAAACACGGCGGGAGACAGUGUCAGGUGGGCAGUUUGACUGGGGCGGUCGCCUCCUAAAAGGUAACGGAGGCGCCCAAAGGUUCCCUCAGAAUGGUUGGAAAUCAUUCGCAGAGUGUAAAGGCAUAAGGGAGCUUGACUGCGAGACCUACAAGUCGAGCAGGGACGAAAGUCGGGCUUAGUGAUCCGGUGGUUCCGCAUGGAAGGGCCAUCGCUCAACGGAUAAAAGCUACCCUGGGGAUAACAGGCUUAUCUCCCCCAAGAGUCCACAUCGACGGGGAGGUUUGGCACCUCGAUGUCGGCUCAUCGCAUCCUGGGGCUGUAGUCGGUCCCAAGGGUUGGGCUGUUCGCCCAUUAAAGCGGUACGCGAGCUGGGUUCAGAACGUCGUGAGACAGUUCGGUCCCUAUCCGUCGCGGGCGCAGGAAAUUUGAGAGGAUCUGUCCUUAGUACGAGAGGACCGGGAUGGACAUACCGCUGGUGUACCAGUUGUUCUGCCAAGGGCAUCGCUGGGUAGCUAUGUAUGGAUGAGAUAAACGCUGAAAGCAUCUAAGUGCGAAACUCACCUCGAGAUGAGAUUUCCCACUCCUUUAUGGAGUUAAGACCCCUGAGAGAUGAUCAGGUAGAUAGGAUGGAAGUGGAAGUGCGGCGACGCAUGGAGCGGACCAUUACUAAUCGGUCGAGGACUUAAUCAA